rnacentral:pre_miRNA from 1 species
ACAGAGAGAGAAGUGACAGAAAGACAGAGAGAGAAGUGACAGAAAGACAGAGAGAAGUGGCUCUCUCUCUGUCUUUCUGUCACCUCUCUUUCUUUCU